AUGCUUGCACGGCGACGGCCUUAAAACGCCAAAUGGCACCCUUUGUUUAUGAGUACCGUUCGUUUCCUCGGUGGGCUCGCCUGCCUUGAGGACCAACAAUAACCUUUGCAGUAGCAGUAUCUUCAGUUAAAAUAAAUAUUAAAACUUUCAACAACGGAUCUCUUGGUUCUGGCAUCGAUGAAGAACGCAGCGAAAUGCGAUAAGUAGUGUGAAUUGCAGAAUUCAGUGAAUCAUCGAAUCUUUGAACGCACAUUGCGCCCUUCGGUAUUCCGUUGGGCAUGCCUGUUCGAGCGUCAUUUAAUCAAUCAAGCCCUGCUUGGUGUUGGGUGUUUGUUCCGCCUCGGUGCGUGGACUCGCCUUAAAUUCAUUGGCAGCCGGUAUGUUGGCUUCGUGCGCAGCACAUUGCGUCGCGAUUCUGGCAGACCCCCUCCCAUUAAGCUCCUUUCUAGUUUGACCUCGGAUCAGGUAGGGAUACCCGCUGAACUUAAGCAUAUCAAUAAGCGGAGGAAAAGAAACCAACAGGGAUUGCCCCAGUAACGGCGAGUGUAGCGGCAAUAGCUCAAAUUUGAAAUCUGGCUCUUUCAGGGUCCGAGUUGUAAUUUGCAGAGGGCGCUUUGGCGUCGACAGCAGCCUAAGUUCCUUGGAACAGGUCAUCAUAGAGGGUGAGAAUCCCGUAUGUGGCUGCUUGUCUUCGCCGUGUAAAGCCCCUUCGAUGAGUCGAGUUGUUUGGGAAUGCAGCUCUAAAUGGGAGGUAAAUUUCUUCUAAAGCUAAAUAUUGGCCAGAGACCGAUAGCGCACAAGUAGAGUGAUCGAAAGAUG
rnacentral:rRNA from 1 species